GACGAACGCUGGCGGCGUGCCUAACACAUGCAAGUCGAGCGAUGAAAUCCCUUCGGGGAUGGAUUAGCGGCGGACGGGUGAGUAACACGUGGGUAACCUGCCUCAAAGAGGGGGAUAGCCUCCCGAAAGGGAGAUUAAUACCGCAUAAUAUUAGUUUUUCGCAUGGAGAACUAAUUAGAGGAGUAAUCCGCUUUGAGAUGGACCCGCGGCGCAUUAGCUAGUUGGUGAGGUAAAGGCUCACCAAGGCGACGAUGCGUAGCCGACCUGAGAGGGUGAUCGGCCACAUUGGAACUGAGAUACGGUCCAGACUCCUACGGGAGGCAGCAGUGGGGAAUAUUGCACAACGGGCGAAAGCCUGAUGCAGCAACGCCGCGUGAGUGAUGAAGGCCUUCGGGUUGUAAAGCUCUGUCUUUGGGGACGGUAAUGACGGUACCCAAGGAGGAAGCCACGGCUAACUACGUGCCAGCCGCCGCCGUAAGAC
rnacentral:rRNA from 1 species